GUGGCCUAUUGCGGGAAGCAUAAAAUCCGGUAGUGGGCUGCUUCCAGGAAGAGCGAGAGGGACACUUUGGGCGACGUUGCUGCAGGAGCCAACUACUGAAGCCGUGGGUCGUCGUGCGAGAGUGUUUAAGUGUGAUUUAUCUGCUGAAUUGGCCAUGUUGGAUGGCGAGCUAGAGUCCGAAGCUUUAGGCCUGGAACCGAACCAACCGAACUGAAUCCACCCAACCGAGCCCCGGGCGGUCUGUUCAUCCAUCAAUCCAUUUUCUACCGCUUGUCCCUUUCGGGGUCGCUGGAGCAUAUCUCAGCUGCAUUCGGGCGGAGGGCGGAGUACACCCUGGACAAGUCGCCACCUCAUCGCUGGGACAACACAGACAGACAACAUUCACACUCACAUUCACACACUCGGGCCUAUUUAGUGUUGCCAAUCAACCUAUCCCCAGGUGCAUGUCUUUGGAGGUGGGAGGAAGCCGGAUUACCCGGAGGGAACCCAUGCAGUCACGGGGAGAACAUGCAAACUCCACACGGAAAGAUUCCGGGCGCAGGAUCGAACCCAGGAACUUUGUAUGGUGAGGCAGGCGCACUAACCCUCUCCACCACCGUGCUGCCCGCAGUCUAUUCAAUUGAAUAAUAAGUUGAAAAGGAUUGGCAAAUUAUUAUAUUUCUGUUUUUAUUUACCAUUUACACAACGUGCCAACUUCCCUGGUUUUGUAAUUGUGUAUGAUGUGCAAAUGACACAAAAAGUACAGAUUUCCUUUAAUUGAAGCAUUUACGUCGCCGUACUUGACCGUUUUAGCUUCCUCCCAAUUUGAGUCAAUCAGUUUGAAUUUCACAUUGGUCUGCAAUCUACACUUUAAUUAGUUAACAUAAAUGACAAUAACGACAUGCAGUAAAAGUGAACAAUCAAAAUGAAGUUAUUGCUACACCAUCAUGUUGUGAAGCAAUCUAACCUUGCUGACACAGCGCGUCUCGUCUUGUGAUGGAGCGGCGCUGAAGAACUCACCAAAACACUUGCUCUGGUUGGUCGCCCGGUCCAUGAAGACCUUGGAAGAGAUGACAGUGCCGAAGGGAGUCAGUGUCGUGGCCGGGUAUAUUGCUAGGAGAACAAUGGCGUCACGGUAAGGCGUACAGUCUAUUGGACAAGACCUGACGGUGUUCUUAUAAGGACGCCAUCACAAUACAUUUAAAGCAGGUGGUAGGCAAAAACUUGGUUUACCUGUGUACUGCUGGACUCCGGUGAAGGCUUGCUGCAGGGUGUCGGCGGCUGUGGGGCUCUGGGUGGAGUAAGGCGGCAGACCGUUGGUGUAGACCGUCUCCACGGUGGGGUGUCCGUUUGGCUGAUGGUGGAUGCCGGUGAAUCCGUUAACAAUGGGUGUGACGAUGCUGGGCACGGCGGAUGUGGUGAUGUUGGCUGGUGGAGAACUGAGGCCUGAGGGGAGGAAGAGGGGACCACUGACGAUUCAUUGAAAUUUAGAUUUAGUGAAACUGUUAUACUGCGUGUGCCAGUCCGGCUGCAGCAGGCAGCUGCAAUCAACACACCUAAAGCUGACAAUGAGACCAGCCUUCUUAAAGCAGCACCGGGGCCAGAACAUAGCUACCUGUCCUGUACAGUAAGCCAAAUCUGUCUAGCUCUAUGCAUUAAUUUAUCUCUCUGUGUUUUCUCCCCUGUCGUGUUUGGUUAGAGAUCGGUAAGCCGAGUCAUACCCUGUAAACUGUUUGUCUAAUCUUGAACAGGUUUGUGCUGAAAACAAAGUUUCGUUGUACUUGUGCAAUGACAAUAAAGACCUAUUCUAUGCUAUUCCAAAAACUAUACAAAUGGGACCUAUUACCUCCCUGCUUGACACUCAGCAUCAAGGGUUGGAAUUGUGGGUUAAAUCAGCAAAAAUAAUUCCCGGGUGCGUCCACUGCUGCUCCUCACUGCUCCCCACACCCCUCAUCAAGGGUGAUGGGUCAAAUGCAGAGAAUACUUUCGCCACACCGUGUGUGUGUGUGUGUGUGUGUGACAAUCAUUGCUACUUUAACUUUAUUUGUCUCGUGUCCACCUUGUCGCCUCUCUGCAGCCUGCCUUCGUUCUCAUGUCAUUAGACAUUCACUCUAAAUUUCCUCAUCCAUGAAUCUUUCAUCCUCGCUCAAAUUAAUGGAGAAAUUGUCGCUCUCUCGGUCCGAAUAGCUCUAGCUGCUGCUGGCUAUGAUUGUAAACAAUGUUCACAUGUGAGGAGCUCUGCAACCAGUGACGUCACGCGCACAUCGUCUGCCACUUCCGGUACAGGCAAGGCUUUUUUAUUAGCGACCUAAAGUUGCGAACUUUAUCCUCGAUGUUCUCUACUAAAUCCUUUCAGCAAAAAUAUGGCAAUAUCGUGAAAUGAUCAAGUAUGACACAUAGAAUGGACCUGCUAUCCCCGUUUGAAUAAGAAAAUCUCAUUUCAGUAGGCCUUUAAGUACAGUAUCUAGGCCUGUCAAAAAAGCUUUAGUUUCCGAUGUAUUUCAGCAUCAUAAACUACAAGUUCAAGAGUCACUAACUGAUGAGCUGUCCACUGUCCUAUGCAAAUCUAAUCAAUUAGGUGUAGCUAUGGCAAAGGACGGCCCCCUUUCUACUGCAUUUAAACGUAAACAGUACUAUACAUCUCACUUUUCUGUUUUAGAGCCAGUUGAGUAUGUAUUAGAUGCCCAGUGGAAUAAGACCAAGGCAAAGCUGCAGCCAACAUCUAGAAAGCCAGAAGAGCUGAAGUUUACAACAUACCACUGCACACAAAAGGCGAAACCACAGAAAGCUUGGAAAGUGAGAGAAUGGCUUUGUUGUCAGAAAUAAAAAAGUGUGUCAAUGAAGUGCUGAUAAAAUGGAAAAAACCUUCUCCCACAGACAACGAGAGGUCGUUGAACAGAGACCCAUGAUAGAAAAAUUCAAAAACCGGUGACCUGCCCUGUUCCAGCAGAGUGAAAUCAUUUAACUUGUAUUUUUAUGUAUUGAUAUUUAACUGUAAGAAAAUGGCAAUUUUUUCUAAAUGAAUUUUUAAAAAAAUUUUUUGAUCAAUGAGUUCUUGCAGAUCACUACAAAGCCACUGCGGUCAAAGUUUAUGUCACAACUGGACCACGUUGCACUCAAGCUGAUGCAGAUCUUCAAAAGCAAAGGAAGAGUGAACGGGCAACGAAUCAAAGAAGUUCUGGCAAACAGAUUUGUGUGACAACAUUGACAUCAGGAGGGAGUGCAUCCUGAGAAGCCUUGUUGUCUAUCUCAAAAAAGAUCCAGACACUUUGUUCAAUGAAUAUCUGGUCCAUCUCUAUCGGGAUGUGGUUGCCUAAAGGAUCGUGUUGCAGCAAUUGCAUUAUGUUCAUGGCUGCUUGCUGAAGUCAUUUACGGGCCAAUUUCAAACAUUAUAUUAUUAUCCAUCCAUCCAUCCAUUUUCUACCGCUUAUUCCCUUUUGGGGUCGCGGGGGACGCUGGCGCCUAUCUCAGCUACAAUCGGGUGGAAGGCAGGGCCUCCGCCACUGAGGAUGCAGAAAGGGACAAUGCCCUCACAGUCAUGGGGAUAAACAUCAUCCAUGGAGACGGCGAUUGGCAGCCAGAGGAUGUUGGAAUUGUUAUCGAAGGCAUCAAAGUCCUAAGCGACGUGGACAUCGUCAUCAUGGGGAUCAUAAUGAUGUUUGGGGCUCAUUUAUGCCCUUGAUCUAAGCCAGGGGUGCCAUUACGUCGAUCGCGAUCGACUGGUCAAUCUCGGAGUGUGUGUCAGUCGAUCUCAAGCCAGGCAUUAAAAAAUAGACAUAAAAAUGAGCAAUCAUCAAUCAUACCAAGACUUCACUUUCGUCAGUUGUUUGACAUUCUCGGCACCCGAGGAUCUUGUGAGAUGACGCUGGCUGCUGCGAGCUCAUAUUUAAGAAAAAAAUCACUAACAGGGCGGACGCAGAGAAACACAUUUUAUUUCCACUGAGUGCCUUUUUUUGUAGCUUUUGAGUUAACAUUAAAAUCAUGUAUUUACCUUCCCGCCAUGUCCCGUCACCUUCCUUUGCAUUAUGGGAAAACAAACCCCACCACAGUCCACGUUCUGACACCAGGAGCGGAACAGGGGUUAAUCAGUUUUGCAAUGCGGCCCGCUAAAAACGAUGGAAAGCGCCACUCAACGUAGCAACUGACGCUGUCGUCAAAGUUGGAAUUUCCGCAAAACACAUUUGAAGACAUUGAACACUCUACUGCCAUCCGGCGGCUAAAGUAAAUAGUGCAACCCCCCUAAUUCGACACAUUUCAUGUGUCAGGUGAACCGCGACCAAUGAGGCCAUUUGAAUCACCCUCCCCUUUCUACUGUAAAACACAGUUUGGACAUAUUGACACUCACGCUGACACACACACACACACACACACAUACUCGCCAGCUUUGUGCAAAAGGGGUUGGGCCACCAUGAUGAGCUACGCAUUUCACGACUAAUGCAAGCACACGGGUGUUGUCAAACAUGCGCUAUUUGUCAUGGCGCAUCAGGAAGCCAAACUGUGAAAAAACACGGCCUUGGAGUUUGUGCGUGCGACAGAAAACUGGAUGGAAACAUUUAAAGAGACAUUUGCCUGGAGAUGCAGCUCGCGAAAACAAAAACAUGUUACACAGUACACAAUUGUGCAGGUCACAACAUGUUUCCUGCAUGCCUGAGAGGCAGCGGCAGGACGGUUCAUGAGCGGAAUGGAAAUUGAGUUGCUCGCCGUCCGCUCUCAUGCAAUGCCUUUUAAAGGGCUCUCCUUCGGAAAGUGUUUCCAAUUAUGCCAGGAACGCCAAAGCACCCAUUCUGAGCUCGAAUCUCACGCCGUGAUGGCCUCUCUGGAAAAAAAAAAAAAAAAAAAGGCGGGGGGCCUCCGUGGCGAAGCAUCCGUGCUCGCUGAAGUACAGCUCCCCUGAGGACCACCACUCAAUCUGGAAACCUUCGCCCUGAUUGGACAGCGGAAGGGGGCGGGGGCUUUGGGGAGUUUUGUGCGGUCGUCACGGCAACGCGACGGGGAGUCAUGUUCCCAUCAUGCUGGGAACGAGUCGACAACCGCUCCACACCGAGGUUUAGGCUAAUGGGAUGAAACACACAGUAUUCAUAGGAAAUACAUUUCCUGGCCGACCGGAGACUCCACUUUUCAAUCUGUGUUAGCCCUGUGAUGAGGUAGCAACUUGUCCAGGGUGUCACCUGCCUUCCGCCCCCAAUGCAGAAACACAUAGAUAGGAUCCAGCCCCUCCCUUGACCCCAAAAGGGACAAGCGGUAGGAAAUGGAUGGAUAUACAAUAUGUAAAUAUUACAGGUAUGUUACAUUUUAUAUUGCUACUAUGGUACAUUUGAGUCUACUUUAUACCUUAUGUUUGAGGUGGCGACUUGUCCAGGGUGCACCCUGACUUCCGCCCGAAUGCAGCUGAGAUAGGCUCCAGCGACCCCCCGCGAUCCCAAAAGGGACAAGCGGUAGAAAAUGGAUGUAUAUACCUUAUGUUUUUGCCCUCUUUUUGUGCAUUACCCUUUCAAUCCUUUGUAACUGAGCUACUGUGUGGAACAAUUUCCCUCGUGUAUCAAUAAAGUUCAUCAAAGUCUAAGUCUAAAAUUCUCAAAUAGUUUCAUCACACAAAAGCGUCUCACUGCAAAAUGAUCACAGGC